GGAGUCUUCCCAGGAAACGAAUCCGUGAUGUUAACCAACAUCACGGAUUCGUUUCCUGGGAAGUUC
rnacentral:pre_miRNA from 1 species